GCCGGGCGCGGUGGCUCACGCCUGUAAUCCCAGCACUUUGGGAGGCUGAGGCGGGUGGAUCACCUGAGGUUGGGAGUUUGAUAUCAGCCUGACCAACAUGGAGAAACCCCGUCUCUA
rnacentral:SRP_RNA from 1 species